rnacentral:lncRNA from 1 species
GUUGUUCUCCUGUUGGACACAAAUAAUCUCACAGAGCAUCAACAUCAGAUAGGACAUUGUGGGUCCAUGAUAAGGUGAAAUUAAAAAUAAGGUCAUAUAUAAUCAUUUAAAUACCAAACAUCUCCCUCUCGGCUAAAAUGAGGGAGUACUACUUCUUUAGCAACUACAGAUUUGUCUUUUCUAAUCAGGUCUCCCUAUGACAGAGAUAGCCUCUCAUAAAAUUGACCCACUUCCUGAUAACAGCCAAUACUAGCACAAAGUUCAUUUCCUUAGAUCCUCUCCAGAAUUUUCCAAAGCCCAAAUCAUAUAAGGGGUUCUGGCACCUUCUAACUGAGAUUCCCCAUAGUGUUCCAUAGAGUGUGAUCUCCUUCUCUCCAGAAGUGAUAAAUAAACCUCAGGUUGACCACCGACAAGAACUGGGGUUGUGAAAUCUGAUGCUAAGGAGACCUUAAGGUAAACUAAUAGCUUGAACAUUUGUAUCUUCCUCUUCCUUAUUCUCUAAUUGUUUUAGAAUCCCUAAAAAGAAUUGAACUUCAAAAAAAUGCUGAACUUAUCAAUGUUCUAAUCUUGGAAUACUAUUAGAGGGAUCAAGGUCCUUGGAAAAAACAUCAAAAACCUGCCCUUUGUGAGAGAUACUGUCUCAUUUAGAUGAUGUCCUAAAUGGCAGAACCAGGAAGAAACUGGAGAAGGUGAUACAACAUUAGAUUACAACAUUUUUGGAAAAGUUUCUGUGAAUCAGCCUCAGAACACAAUACUGCCUGAUAACCAAGCAUGAUAGACUCUAUGUAGUCAGUAAGUUUCCAAAGAUUAUUCAACUAAUUAGUCUAUUUGUUUUUCCUUUUUAAGUUAUCUUGGGUCUAAAAAGGCCCAUCUCUUCUUUGAGAAUGAAACUGGAUACUGGUAACAUUUAAUAAACAAAUUUUCAAAGUGUUACCUAAAAAUGCAAUUUAGGAAGUGAAACCUCUUUAAACAUAUGACCUUGAGAAUAACAAAAUUAGAGUGCCUACUGAUAAUAAAAUAACAUAGACUAAAAUUUAAGCUGGGAUUAGGGGGUCUAAAUCUAGCAAAUGUGAGUUUAUGCUUAUCACAUUGUGCUCAAGAUGCUCUGGGGUUCUAAUGAAGGAAACUGAUUAAUUGUUGGAAUCACUGACAAUAAAUGGUAUUGUUUUCAAGGAAAACAGGUCACAUUUUCCAUAUAGGUGCAUAUAAGUUAUAUGCAUAUAAAUUAUAAAUUACUAGUGUCACAAUAUAGAUUUAAGGGAGAUCAAUUUACCAAAUAAUCUUGAUUAUUGAUCUGGUCCAUCAUAAGUACUGACAACCCAUUCACAGUUCCAAGAUUCUUCUAUCACUAAGGCUUCAUUUCAUAUCUUGACAUGGAAUAAAAAGUCCAAAUACAAUCAGCAUGUUGGGAAAACAGCAUUAGGAUAAUUGGGAGACAAUGAUCUCAACAAAACUGGACAUCCUUGAGGCAAAAAUGAAAACACACACACACACACACACACACACACCCCAUGAUCAAGUUGAAAUCCUUCUUGUGUCUAUUUUUAAUAUCUACAACUAGGUUAUUAAAAACCAGAACAAUAGUGUUCUUUUAUUAAUUUCUAUUACUGUUCCAAUUAUUCAGUUCCUUCUGUAUUUUGACACAGGAUUUGAAUUUUAUUGAAAAGCUGACACACUCAUGCCCCAAAAGUAAACAAUCUCAAGUUCUGACUUUAACUCAUAGACUGUGGCCCCACAUCAUAAAUCACCCCACAUCUAUAUUUCAGUGUAGUUUUAUUGCUCAUAUUUAAUACACUGUAUUAUUUAAUGUUCAUAAUCACGAGAAAUAUAUAUUAUCUUCAGUCUAGAGAUAAGUGAACACUUGACAUUCAACAGAUGUGUGCUAAGACCUUUAGGAUUUCCCUAAAUUUGCAAAUACCACAAAUGCAAUAAAUGCUAACUUCAAUAUCAAGAAAUGAGUAGAGAAUAAGGAAAGAAGGCUGAGAAGUAGAUCUGAGUGUUUGGUUGAACUCACUCCCUGGGUUAAGUCACACAUUGGUAAAGUUCAGCCUCACAGCAUGUGGUCAUUAAAACAGCAUGUAGAAUUCAAAUUUCUAACAUUUAUAAGGUAAUGAAAUUUCAGAUCACUCACAGACAGUGAAACUAGAAUAUUAAGGUUCACAGUGCCAAGAGGCAACCAUAUCAGGAAAGAUAAUUGAAUACUUCAGUGAUAUAUUGGGCUAGUCCCAAAUGAAACAUUGACUUACUUACUAUAAUCUUAAAACCUUAAUUAUCAUAAUGCAAUGAUCCAACAAAAAAUAAAAAAGACAGUGUAUGCGUAAUCUGAAAGGUAUAAUAGAUAAGAAAAGCAUGGCAAUGAACAGUCUUCAAAUAGAAAGAUUCCCAUAGGCCAAAUGAUGGGAGCUUUUUUACCCAUUCACUAGAUAAAAGAGCUAUGUACUUAGUACUUAUUCUCUAUUCCUUGAUCUGCCUCAGGUCCCCAAUUCCCCCGAAGUUGAUAAGAAAAUUAGUAUGAGUUCCUAUUUUACUAUAAAGCAACAAAUUUCAGGCCAUAAACAUUUGAAAGUUUCUGAUUCAAGUCAGAUCACACUACUUACUAGAUGAUGUAUACCUGCAGGGAUAGUCCCAACUAUAUUUCCAUAAAAACAGGUAACCAAAGCCAAGUCAAAUUCUGUAUCACGGAUUUCUUAUUUCCUAUUGUCUUCCCUUAUCAUUACCAUUGACUUUUACUCUCUUGGAAUCUAGAAUAAGAUUAUUCAGAGUCAAUUCAUCUAAUUUAUUUACAUAAAAUUCAUUAUAUAUAUAUUCUGAUUAUAAAGUUAACACAUGUUCAUUGGAAAAAUUUUGAAAAUAGAUUUCAAAGAAGAUAAAA